GCUUAGCCCUAAACCCAAAUAAUUACACAACAAUAUUAUUCGCCAGAGCACUACUAGCAAUAGCUUAAAACUCAAAGGACUUGGCGGUGCUUUAUAUCCCUCUAGAGGAGCCUGUUCUGUAAUCGAUAAACCCCGAUAAACCUCACCGACCCUUGCUAAUACAGCCUAUAUACCGCCAUCUUCAGCAAACCCUAAAAAGGAGCCAUAGUAAGCAAAAAUAUAGAACAUAAAAACGUUAGGUCAAGGUGUAGCCAAUGGGCCGGGAAGAAAUGGGCUACAUUUUCUAAAAUAGAACAUAUACGAAAAUUUUCGUGAAACCGAAAAUAGAAGGAGGAUUUAGCAGUAAAUUAAGAAUAGAGAGCUUAAUUGAAUUAGGCCAUGAAGCAC
rnacentral:rRNA from 1 species